rnacentral:rRNA from 1 species
GAUGAACGCUGGCGGCAUGCCUAAUACAUGCAAGUCGAACGAGAGGAAGGAAAGCUUGCUUUCCUGAAUCUAGUGGCGAACGGGUGAGUAACACGUAGGUAACCUGCCCAUGUGCCCGGGAUAACUUCUGGAAACGGAUGCUAAAACCGGAUAGGUAGCAGACAAGCAUUUGACUGCUAUUAAAGUGGCCUUGGCCAUGAACAUGGAUGGACCUGCGGUGCAUUAGCUGGUUGGUGAGGUAACGGCCCACCAAGGCGACGAUGCAUAGCCGGCCUGAGAGGGCGGACGGCCACAUUGGGACUGAGACACGGCCCAGACUCCUACGGGAGGCAGCAGUGGGGAAUAUUGCACAAUGGGGGAAACCCUGAUGCAGCAACGCCGCGUGAGUGAUGACGGUCUUCGGAUUGUAAAGCUCUGUCUUUAGGGACGAUAAUGACGGUACCUAAGGAGGAAGCCACGGCUAACUACGUGCCAGCAGCCGCGGU